UUUUGUUGUUUUUAAAUGAAUUCCACAUGCCUUUACAGUAGAUUGAUCACAUGCACACAAAUCUAUAUAAUUUCCAAAUUGGUGCACACUGUUUUUAAAUGAACUCCUGCUCCUUUAUGUUUGAUUUCUUGUGCAGUGCAUAUUUGAGUUUUUGAGCCAAAGAUGUCUUCGGAUUAUAGCGAACCUAUUAUUCCUGAUGAUGCCGAGUUGGAUGACGAUGUAUCUCAAGGACCCACAAAGAGGAUUCGAAAACUAACUUCGAAGGUUUGAUAAUGAGCUUAACAAAGUGGUUGCUAUUAAAGUUAUUGACUUGGAAGAAUCCUUUUGGGAUGCAUUGACGAAUUUGAACUACAAAGAUUGACAAGGGCUGCUGCCUCCUAACAGCAAAUUCUUGGAUGCGAGCUUCAUGGUUUUCCUCGUAUUCCAGAAUCUAUGAAUCUGAGUGAUCUGGUUGGAAGAUUGUUCCUGCUUCAAACUGGAUAUACUGUUUUUUGGUAGAUGUAGCAACUUUGAAAAGAGUUUUAAUGUUUUU